CAGCAGCCACGGUAAUACGAAGGGUGCAAGCGUUAAUCGGAAUUACUGGGCGUAAAGGGCGUGUAGGCGGCGGAUACAGUCAGACGUGAAAUUCCUUGGCUUAACCUGGGGGCUGCGUUUGAUACGUAUUUGCUAGAGUGAGGAAGAGGGUUGUGGAAUUCCCAGUGUAGAGGUGAAAUUCGUAGAUAUUGGGAAGAACACCGGUGGCGAAGGCGGCAACCUGGUCCUUGACUGACGCUGAGGCGCGAAAGCGUGGGGAGCAAACAGGAUUAGAUACCCGUGUAGUCCCUGUCUCUUAUAA
rnacentral:rRNA from 1 species